rnacentral:misc_RNA from 1 species
GAAGGUUUUCAUAACCACAAAUCAAGCGGACUGCAAUUUAAUUUCAACAAUUUGAGCUUGUUAAGGUCUUGAGCAGGUUGAUAAUUGUCUUUCUCACUGGAGAUUGAUUGUGACAUUGCUUUUAGUAAGCAGUUGAAAUGAAAAUGAGAUCCAAAGUCUAAAAUAUGCCAAUGGCCUAAAGAAAACCCCGUUGUGUGUUCU